AUUGAACGCUGGCGGCAGGCUUAACACAUGCAAGUCGAGCGGGGGAAGGUAGCUUGCUACCGGACCUAGCGGCGGACGGGUGAGUAAUGCUUAGGAAUCUGCCUAUUAGUGGGGGACAACAUCUCGAAAGGGAUGCUAAUACCGCAUACGUCCUACGGGAGAAAGCAGGGGAUCUUCGGACCUUGCGCUAAUAGAUGAGCCUAAGUCAGAUUAGCUGGUUGGUGGGGUAAAGGCCUACCAAGGCGACGAUCUGUAGCGGGUCUGAGAGGAUGAACCGCCACACUGGGACUGAGACACGGCCAAGACUCCUACGGGAGGCAGCAGUGGGGAAUAUUGGACAAUGGGGGGAACCCUGAUCCAGCCAUGCCGCGUGUGUGAAGAAGGCCUUAUGGUUGUAAAGCACUUUAAGCGAGGAGGAGGCUACUUUAGUUAAUACCUAGAGAUAGUGGACGUUACUCGCAGAAUAAGCACCGGCUAACUCUGUGCCAGCCGCCGCCGUAA
rnacentral:rRNA from 1 species